UACGAAGGGGGCUAGCGUUGCUCGGAAUCACUGGGCGUAAAGGGUGCGUAGGCGGGUCUUUAAGUCAGGGGUGAAAUCCUGGAGCUCAACUCCAGAACUGCCUUUGAUACUGAGGAUCUUGAGUUCGGGAGAGGUGAGUGGAACUGCGAGUGUAAGAGGUGAAAUUCGUAGAUAUUCGCAAGAACACCAGUGGCGAAGGCGGCUCACUGGCCCGAUACUGACGCUGAGGCACGAAAGCGUGGGGAGCAAACAGG
rnacentral:rRNA from 1 species